GUCCACGCUGUAAACGGUGAGUGCUCGUCGUCGUGGGUAUUGACCCCUGCGGUGACCAAGUUAACACAUGAAGCACUCCGCCUGGGAAGUACGGUCGCAAGACUAAAACUCAAAGAAAUUGACGGGGGCCCGCACAAGCGGUGGAGCAUGUUGUUUAAUUCGAAGCAACGCGCAGAACCUUACCUGGAUUUGACAUCUCUGGAAUCCCUCUGAAAGGAGGGAGUGCCUUCGGGAGCCAGAAGACAGGUGCUGCAUGGCUGUCGU
rnacentral:rRNA from 1 species